rnacentral:rRNA from 1 species
GUCUAUGGCCAUGCCACCCCGAACAUGCCUGAUCUCAUCUGAUCUCGGAAGCUAAGCAGGGUCGGGCCUGGUUAGUACUUGGAUGGGAGACCACCUAGGAAGACCAGGUGCUGUAAAAU